rnacentral:rRNA from 1 species
CUUAGAACGGCGAGUGAAGCGGCAAAAGCUCAAAUUUGAAAUCUGGCACCUUCGGUGUCCGAGUUGUAAUUUGAAGAAGGUAACUUUGGAGUUGGCUCUUGUCUAUGUUCCUUGGAACAGGACGUCACAGAGGGUGAGAAUCCCGUGCGAUGAGAUGCCCAAUUCUAUGUAAAGUGCUUUCGAAGAGUCGAGUUGUUUGGGAAUGCAGCUCUAAGUGGGUGGUAAAUUCCAUCUAAAGCUAAAUAUUGGCGAGAGACCGAUAGCGAACAAGUACAGUGAUGGAAAGAUGAAAAGAACUUUGAAAAGAGAGUGAAAAAGUACGUGAAAUUGUUGAAAGGGAAGGGCUUGAGAUCAGACUUGGUAUUUUGCGAUCCUUUCCUUCUUGGUUGGGUUCCUCGCAGCUUACUGGGCCAGCAUCGGUUUGGAUGGUAGGAUAAUGACUAAGGAAUGUGGCUCUACUUCGGUGGAGUGUUAUAGCCUUGGUUGAUACUGCCUGUCUAGACCGAGGACUGCGUCU